GGUCUGGUGGCUUCAGCACGAGCGAAACACCCGAUCCCAUCCCGAACUCGGCCGUUAAGCGCCGUAGCGCCAAUGGUACUGCGUCCCAAGACGUGGGAGAGUAGGUCACCGCCAGACCUG
rnacentral:rRNA from 1 species